UUCCGGUUGAUCCUGCCGGAGGCUACCGCUAUUGGAGUCCGAUUAAGACAUGCGAGUCGAGAGCUUUCGGAGCUCGGCAUACUGCUCAGUAACACGUGGGUAACCUGCCCUAUGCUGGGGGAUAACCUCGGGAAACUGAGAACAAUACCCCAUAGUCCACUACGCCUGGAACGGUGAGUGGAUAAAAGCCCCGGCGGCAUAGGAUGGGCCUGCGGCGUAUCAGGUUGUAGGGGGUGUAAUGUACCCUCUAGCCCUCGACGCGUACGGGUUGUGAGAGCAAUAGCCCGGAGAUGGAUUCUGAGACAAGAAUCCAGGUCCUACGGGACGCAGCAGUCGCGAAACCUUGACAAUGCGGGAAACCGUGAUCAGGGGACUCCAAGUGCCAGGAGUAAGGUCCUGUGCUUUUCAUCUCUCUUCAAAGGAUUUGGAAUAAGAGGUGGGUAAGGACGGUGCCAGCCGCCGCGGUAAUACCGGCGCCUCAAGUGGUAGUCGCUUUUAUUGGGCCUAAAACGUCCGUAGCCGGUCUGGUGCAUUCGUGGGUAAAUCAACCCGCUCAACGGGUUGAAUUCUGCGAGCACGGCCAGACUUGGGACCGGGAGAGGUGUGGGGUACUCUCAGGGUAGGGGUAAAAUCCUGUCAUCCUGAGAGGACCACCUGUUGCGAAGGCGCCACACUAGAACGGAUCCGACGGUCAGGGACGAAACCUAGGGGCACGAACCGGAUUAGAUACCCGGGUAGUCCUAGGUGUAAACGCUGUGGACUUGAUGUUGGGGGCGCUCCGAGCGCUUUCAGUGUCGAAGCGAAGGUGAUAAGUCCACUGCCUGGGGAGUACGGUCGCAAGGCUGAAACUUAAAGGAAUUGGCGGGGGAGCACUGCAACCUGAGGAUUGUGCGGUUUAAUUGGGAUUCAACGCCGGA
rnacentral:rRNA from 1 species